rnacentral:rRNA from 1 species
UACAGAGGGUGCGAGCGUUAAUCGGAAUUACUGGGCGUAAAGCGCGCGUAGGCGGCUUUGCAAGUCGAGUGUGAAAUCCCCAGGCUUAACCUGGGAACUGCAUUCGAGACUGCAUGGCUAGAGUAUGGGAGAGGGAAGUGGAAUUUCAGGUGUAGCGGUGAAAUGCGUAGAUAUCUGGAGGAACACCGGUGGCGAAGGCGGCAUCCUGGACCGGCAUUGACGCUGAGGAGCGAAAGCCAGGGGAGCAAACGGG